ACGUUUUGGCAGACUAAUUCUGAAGAUUCUGGAUUUGAGAUCAUCCUUUCCAUCCGAAUUCGAAGUCUCUUCGUCGAGGCAUUCGUUUUGCGAAGAUCCAGAAGAGAGAAAUCUUGAACGAAAGAAAGACUCGGAAUCGGAAUUAGGGCGGUUCUUGAUUUUUGUGUUGCUUGCUCUGCCAUGUUUAAGUGUUUGACAAAAAGAAAGAAAGAAAUAUAGUCAAAUAGUGACUGUUUAGACAUGAAAGAUACUAAAAUCAGCUCAAUAUAGCUUAAAAAUGGGAAACAUAAGGAGAGUCGAAUGUUCUUACCGUCUUAGACCGAGGAAAAAUGAGCGAGCAGCCAUUGCUAAUUCUACAGUUGUGUUAACUGGGGCGACUCAUUGAGUCACUGCAGACAUUCU
rnacentral:lncRNA from 1 species